AGAAUAUAUUAUAUUAUAUUGUCGAUGGUGAAAACUUUGCAUUACUGUCGUUUGUCAAAGUACAAGGUAGA